rnacentral:rRNA from 1 species
UACGGGGGGAGCAAGCGUUGUUCGGAUUUACUGGGCGUAAAGGGCGCGUAGGCGGCCACUGCAAGUCAGUUGUGAAAUCUCCGGGCUUAACCCGGAAAGGUCAACUGAUACUGCAGGGCUAGAGUGCAGAAGGGGCAACUGGAAUUCUCGGUGUAGCGGUGAAAUGCGUAGAUAUCGGGAGGAACACCUGUGGCGAAAGCGGCGCACUGGACCAUAACUGACGCUGAUGCGCGAAAGCUAGGGGAGCAAACAGG